CUCAAAACAAGAAUGCCUUUCUCAUGAUAGAAUAAAGUGUGAGAGUCUGGAAUAUUCGGCUCUACUUCUCAAGAGGGCUACCAAGUUUAGUCAAAUACUACAGAAGUAAAAACAAGCACACGAAGAAACUAAUAUAUGCUGCAAAACUUCCAGAAUAAAGCAACUGGAAAAGUCAAGUAAAAGUGAUUUUGUUCAAAUUGGGUCUCACCUUGGGAUGAAACACUUAUCUCCCUCCCAUGGCAGAGUGCAUACACGUGGAACCAAUGAUUUUAAUUAGGUUGGUGUGGCACACAGCAGGACUUCCAUAUCUGAUCAAUCUGCUGAUACCUGGUGCAGCCUCAUUCUUACCAGAAAAGCAAAGAAGCAGAAAUGAUGGAUUUCCUGAACGGAUCAAAGAACUCUUCUGCCCCUAUAAACGUUCUGCUGGGAAAUUAAGAAAAGCAAUUAUUUUUAAUGAAAUUCAACAGUCAAAUGCCACUGUUUCCUGACAGAAAAAGAGGAGAUGCAGAAGAAAGCGUGAUUUGUCUCCUUUCAGACAGUCGACCUCCUGGCUGAAAGGUUGGAAGUCUGUUCAUUUAUUUUCCCUUGACCGGUCAUUUGUCCUUUCAAAUAAUCAAGUGAAUAAACAUUUCGUUCAGUUCCAGUUGAAUGCAAAUUGUUAUGUAUUAAAAAAGAUGGAUCUAGAUUUUGAAGUCCCCCUCACUGGUGUUGAAAAAGCAAAGCAGACAGGAUACCCCUAGGAAGGUCAGCAGUCAGCUCCACUUUUCAUAGCUAGGGAGGUUCUGAUAGAAUCCGUUUGGUAUUAUCCAGAUAAGAAGCACAGGGCUAAGUAAUCUAUGAGACUUAAUUAAAAGCCUAUCAUGGCCCACUGGGAUUUUUUCCACAUCACACUCAUAAGCCUUACGCAAUGCAGAGAAUUUAGUAAGGUUUUCAUUCAAUCUUACAUCAUAGUCUCAUGAACCAUUUUGAAAGAUUUGGUCCAGACAGCAACGGUAAAAAGGGAGACAUUCCAUUUGCAAUUUAACAAGAGUAAAAGAAAUAAUCAUCACACUGAUCUGUCGCCCAAAACAAAGCACAUAUAACCACAACUCAUAAUCUUGAUUUUUCC
rnacentral:lncRNA from 1 species